CCGGUGACUUUAUAUUAAAUUUUAGGAAAUGGCACCACCUACUCACACGAACUUGAUGUACGAUUUACUGCGAGCAGUACAAGAACUGAGCAAAUAGAGCCAAGCACCGCGACCACAGAAUGCACCACCACAACAAAAUGUACCUCCAUUUUCCCAAGAGCCGUCUCAAUGGUUGAGCAGUUUUGUAGGUACAAGCCUCCGACUUUCAAGGUUGGCUUCGACCCACCAGCUGUUGAGGAAUUGAUUAGAGGUCUAGAAUGCAUCUUUCGACACAUUGCUUGUACAAAUACACAGAAAGUACUAUGCGCAUAAUUCAUGUUUGUUGGAACAGCUAGUCACUAGUAGGAAUCUGUCUCACGCACUAGGACAGAAGAGCAGCAAUGUAACCUGACUUGGGAGCAAUUUAAAGAUGAAGUGAUGGAAAAUGUUUUCCAUAGGCUUUGAGAGACUUUAAGGAAUCAGAGUAUCUACAACUCAGGCAGAGAGACAUGUUGCUUACUAAUUACGAAAGGCAAUUUGAGCAGCUCUCAAGAUAUACCUCGUGUUUGGUGGAUGCCAAAGUUAAGAAGAUUAGGAGGUUUGAAAAUGGACUACACCCAGAGAUGAGCAUGAUCAUUAUGUCCCAUCAUUUCACCUCAUAUCAUGAAAUGUUGGAGAGGGCUCAUGCUAUUUCAUAUCAAAGGACCACAUUUGAAUAGUAUACCCAGCAAAGCAAAGAGUAAUUGGGAAAAAGAAAGUGAAGUGAUCAAAACAAAAAUAGAAGUAAC
rnacentral:lncRNA from 1 species